GCCAUCAUAACCGAGUGGGCACGGUAACAGACAUUGUUUGUUCCCUCUUCGGGAUUGUGGACGAAGAAAUUUGCCUGCGUUUCAAGUUGGGGGUGCAGGUUCGAAUCCUGCUGGUGGUC